rnacentral:rRNA from 1 species
UACGUAGGUGGCGAGCGUUAUCCGGAUUUACUGGGUGUAAAGGGUGCGUAGGCGGCUUUUUAAGUCAGAUGUGAAAUCUCCCGGCUCAACCGGGGGAGUGCAUUGGAUACUGGAGGACUUGAGUGAUAGAGAGGAGAGCGGAAUUCCGAGUGUAGCGGUGAAAUGCGUAGAUAUUAGGAGGAACACCAGUGGCGAAGGCGGCUGUCUGGGCAUUAACUGACGCUGAGGCACGAAAGCGUGGGGAGCAAACAGG